rfam:Pteropus alecto contig80319, whole genome shotgun sequence.
GGCUCCAUAGUGUAGUGAUUAGCAUGUCUGCUUUACACGCAAAAGGUUCUGGGUUUGCGCCCCAGGUGAAGCUG